rnacentral:rRNA from 1 species
AGUGAACGCUGGCGGUAGGCCUAACACAUGCAAGUCGAACGGCAGCACAGUAAGAGCUUGCUCUUACGGGUGGCGAGUGGCGGACGGGUGAGGAAUACAUCGGAAUCUACUUUUUCGUGGGGGAUAACGUAGGGAAACUUACGCUAAUACCGCAUACGACCUACGGGUGAAAGCAUGGGAUCUUCGGACCUUGCGCGAUUGAAUGAGCCGAGUUCGGAUUAGCUAGUUGGCGGGGUAAAGGCCCACCAAGGCGACGAUCCGUAGAUGGUCUGAGAGGAUGAUCAGCCACACUGGAACUGAGACACGGUCCAGACAACUACGGGAGGCAGCAGUGGGGAAUAUUGGAAAAUGGGCGAAAGCCUGAUACAGACAUACCGCGUGGGUGAAGAAGGCCUUCGGGUUGUAAAGCACUUUUGUUGGGAAAGAAAAGAAGCAGGUUAAUACCCCGCUGUUAUGACGGUACCCAAAGAAUAAGCACCGGCUAACUUCGUG